GUAGGUGGCAAGCGUCGUCCGGAAUUAUUGGGCGUAAAGCGCGCGCAGGCGGUUCUUUAAGUCUGAUGUGAAAGCCCACGGCUCAACCGUGGAGGGUCAUUGGAAACUGGAGAACUUGAGUACAGAAGAGGAAAGCGGAAUUCCACGUGUAGCGGUGAAAUGCGUAGAGAUGUGGAGGAACACCAGUGGCGAAGGCGGCUUUCUGGUCUGUAACUGACGCUGAGGCGCGAAAGCGUGGGGAGCAAACAGGAUUAGAUACCCUGGUAGUCCACGCCGUAAACGAUGAGUGCUAAGUGUUAGGGGGUUUCCGCCCCCCUUAGUGCUGCAGCUAACGCAUUAAGCACUCCGCCUGGGAGUACGGCCGCAAGGCUG
rnacentral:rRNA from 1 species